rnacentral:rRNA from 1 species
UACGUAGGGGGCAAGCGUUGUCCGGAUUUAUUGGGCGUAAAGAGCUCGUAGGCGGUUUGUCGCGUCUGCCGUGAAAGUCCGGGGCUCAACUCCGGAUCUGCGGUGGGUACGGGCAGACUAGAGUGAUGUAGGGGAGACUGGAAUUCCUGGUGUAGCGGUGAAAUGCGCAGAUAUCAGGAGGAACACCGAUGGCGAAGGCAGGUCUCUGGGCAUUAACUGACGCUGAGGAGCGGAAGCAUGGGGAGCGAACAGG